AUUUUUAUUAAUGACUAAAAAACAGUGAUUAAACAGUGUUAUUAAGUCUGUAAAACAGCGAGUAAAGGAUAAGUGAUAGUGAGGGCGCGUGGGAUUUGAUUCGUCUUUCCUUGUGGUGUCUCCUCCUCCAUCGUAGAAAAAGAUUUUAAAAAGGAGGGAGAGGAGGGCAUAAUAAUCUUUUUCUUUCUUUUCCCUUCUUCAUCUUCUUCUCACUUGAUUGAUUAGUACCAAACCCUUUAAUCAAUUAAUCUGAUUUAUACAUAGUCCCACUUUCAGUUGCAAUCUGGGGAGGUUCUGUAGUGAAGAAGGUGGAGUGAGAGAGAGAAAAAAAAAGGAAAGGGAUGAGGAUAUUGUGCGAUGCGUGCGAGAACGCAGCUGCUAUCGUCUUCUGCGCUGCCGAUGAAGCUGCCCUUUGCCGCGCCUGCGAUGAAAAAGUACAUAUGUGCAAUAAGCUAGCUAGUCGGCAUGUACGUGUAGGUUUAGCCGAACCAAGCAAUGCCCCCUGCUGCGAUAUUUGCGAGAAUGCUCCUGCCUUCUUUUACUGCGAGAUAGACGGUAGUUCGCUUUGUCUUCAAUGUGACAUGGUUGUACAUGUUGGUGGCAAGCGAACACACGGCCGUUUUCUUUUGCUCAGACAGAGAAUUGAGUUUCCAGGGGACAAGCCUAAAUCAAACAAUACGAGAGACAAUUUGCAAAACCAAAGACUCUCUGCAAAUGCAAACGGUGAAGCUAAUGGCAAGACUGAUGACGAAAUGAUUGAUCUCAACUCUAACCCUCAAAGACUACAUGAGCCAUCAUCAAAUAACCAUGGUAUCGAUGUAAAUAACACGAACAAUCACGAGACUCCAGGUGUUGUACCCUUUAAACGAGAGCCUGAGAAGUGAUAUAGGGCCUGGUGGGUGUAAGUCAUGUUUUUAUUGCUGGAGAAAGAAGGCAGAUAUGACACGUGGCAAAGAAGAGAUUAUGUGUGUGGGAGUACUAACCGCUGUCUUAACAAGCUCAUCGGCAUAGGAAGAAGCGGCACGGACGGUAAGGGAGGUGGCACGGUUGCUUAGGACAACGGCGGCGGAAGAUGGCUGACGGAAGAGAACGCUUUGGCCCUUGACCCACUCAGAUUUGU